UCAACGGCCCUCCUCAGGGCCACAAUCCAUGUUCUCAAGUACCAUA
rfam:Ancylostoma duodenale strain Zhejiang A_duodenale-1.0_Cont11687.1, whole genome shotgun sequence.